GAUGAACGCUGGCGGCGUGCCUAAUACAUGCAAGUCGAGCGAACAGACGAGGAGCUUGCUCCUCUGACGUUAGCGGCGGACGGGUGAGUAACACGUGGAUAACCUACCUAUAAGACUGGGAUAACUUCGGGAAACCGGAGCUAAUACCGGAUAAUAUAUUGAACCGCAUGGUUCAAUGGUGAAAGACGGUUUUGCUGUCACUUGUAGAUGGAACCGCGCUGCAUUAGCUAGUUGGUAAGGUAACGGCUUACCAAGGCAACGAUGCGUAGCCGACCUGAGAGGGUGAUCGGCCACAUGGGGACGGAGACACGGCCCAAACUCCUACGGGAGGCAGCAGUAGGGAAUCGUCCGCAAUGGACGAAAGUCUGACGGAGCAACGCCGCGUGAGUGAAGAAGGUUUUCGGAUCGUAAAACUCUGUUGUUAGAGAAGAACAAGUGCUAGAGUAACUGUGAGCGCCUUGACGUUAUCUAACCAGAAAGCCACGGCUAACUACGUG
rnacentral:rRNA from 1 species